CCUAAAUCAUCUCUCUCAAGUUCAAUGUUCCACAAAUCUCUAGGGCAGGGGCAAAAUGCUGCCAGACUCUUUGCUAAAACGUAACAUGAAUUUUAUUUUCUCC